UCGAGAUAAAAUCAUCCAGACUGUCCUGUUUCGGUCCCAGGAAAACUAGCAGCAGGUCAGGACGAUCGACGAUCAGGCAAAGCAGAUUUCCAAUUUUGCUCUACAAACCAAGUUUAAUAGGUUUAGUUUGAACAAUGCUAAGACGUUUUGGCCCGGAUAUGAAAUUUAAAAGCUAUAUGGAUUGUCACGAAAACGCUGCUCGGAAUUAUUCGAGCAUUCAACCCUUCAUCACUGACCGAGACCGAAAACUGCGAAAAAGAUGCGUUCAUCGUCAAGAAGACAGUAAGCUCUGGUGCAGGAGUUUUUUUUUGGAUUUAGAAUAUUUAAUAGAUAACAAUCACAAUCAGUCUGAUGGCCCAUACUCUGAGGAAUUCUGGAAACCAAAUUGGAUUAUUUAUAUCGACUUUUCCACAUGAGCAUCACAUUGGUCAUCCUUUUAUCGGGAAUUCAACACAAUGGCCAUUCUUCCCUUAUUGGUCAUCCUAACAGCAACGUGAUCACAAAUUCAACAAAAAGCUCUUUAUCUGACUAUUUAUCACUUGCCGAUGGAGAAUACUAUUAUUUUAGUUUCUAAAUACACAUAAUAAAGCGAUAGUGAUAUGAUGUCAAUACGAUAUAAAAUAGUGAAAAAACAACA